GUUCAGUUUUGGUAUUAAAUACGGUUUAAAAUGUCUUUUGACAGUUUGUUUAUGUUUGCUAUUUUUAGCAGUUUUUGUGACAUAAAACUGACAUUUGAAGUAAGAGUAUUUUUCAGGGAGGUCGCGUAAUUUUGAAAAUUGGUGUAAUGUUACUUUGCAAUUUCAUUUAAUUCUCAAGAAUAAUGCAAGAGGUUGUUUAUUUAUCUUAGGAAAAAAAUAAUGUCUCGAUGAUGGUGCGAAUCCAAGUGUCCGACCCUGGAUUAAUGAUUUAC